UACGUAGGGGGCAAGCGUUGUCCGGAUUUAUUGGGCGUAAAGAGCGUGUAGGCGGUCCGGUAAGUCCGCUGUGAAAGUCGGGGGUUCAACCCUCGAAUGCCGGUGGAUACUGUCGGGCUAGAGUGCGGAAGAGGCGAGUGGAAUUCCUGGUGUAGCGGUGAAAUGCGCAGAUAUCAGGAGGAACACCGGUGGCGAAGGCGGGUCUCUGGGCCGAUACUGACGCUGAGGAGCGAAAGCGUGGGGAGCGAACAGG
rnacentral:rRNA from 1 species